rnacentral:rRNA from 1 species
AUUGAACGCUGGCGGCAGGCUUAACACAUGCAAGUCGAACGGUAACGGGGAGGGAGAUUACUUUCUCUGCUGACGAGUGGCGGACGGGUGAGUAAAGCUUGGGAAUCUGGCGAAUGGAGGGGGAUAGCCACGGGAAACUGUGGGUAAUACCGCGUAACGUCUAAGGACUAAAGGGGUGGGACUGAGAGGCCACCUGCCAUUUGAUGAGCCCAAGUGGGAUUAGGUAGUUGGUGAGGUAAGGGCUCACCAAGCUGACGAUCUCUAGCUGGUCUGAGAGGAUGGCCAGCCACACUGGAACUGAGACACGGUCCAG